rfam:Asian citrus Psyllid, Diaphorina citri - Florida Strain, whole genome shotgun sequence.
GCCUCGGUAGCGUAGUGGUCAAGACGCUCGCCUGGUAAACAGGAGGGCGUGGGUUCGAUCCCAGCCGAGGCU